CUUGUACUCCUUUGUUACAGUCAGCUCCUCUGUAAGUCUGGGGAAACGAGAAACGUUGCAAGUACAUAUGAGAAAUUUUGCCAAGGGCAAUGAUCCACAGCAUAAAUACUAAGAAGCCCAGAGAUGCAAGACUGCAGACAAGGACGGUUAAUGUUUCCAGAAGGAUGAUGCCCACACAGAUCAGGUUCAAAGGCUCGCCAGGUCUACAGAGAGAUGUGAGUGGCAACCUGCAGCUUCUGAGCCACUGCUCCUUGUGCAAGACCAGAGCAUCCUCAGGACGGAAGACCCAUGCAGCUGGAUCUAGAUACGUAGAUCAGACAUAAAUGCUAAAGAACUACGUUCAGAAUGGGACCAGACUCAUUCCUGCUGCAAUCUCAGCUCUUCUUGAAGGAGUGAAACAGAGGCUGAGUAGGUGUCUGGCUGCCAAUGAAGGACAACCAACCACAACCACAGAGGAUGAUGGGGUCACAUGAAUACAAGAAAAAAAACAAGAAAUUAUACUGCCCUAAUUGGCUCUGGAAAGACUGUGCAAUAUGCUCAAAGUAUUCUUCUAAGCUUGAUAUUUAGAGGUAAAGACAUUUAUUCUCUAUAUAAUAAAUACAACAUUCUGGAUACAUAUAGAGAGAGGAUAAAUAGCAAAAUGGGACUCACUGGAAGAAUGGGAAAAAAAUGUUCAUGAAUAAAGUGAUUAUUAUGGUGUUCUCUGACACCUGUGACUUUAAUUGCAUAGAUUUAAUAAUAAAUUGACAACAGGAGCAACAAGGAUACUAAAACUGUUUCAUCAUGAAAAAAAUACUUUUUUUGUUUGUUUGUUUUUGCAAAACUAAAUUGCCUAGUAUUGUUACCUUUGCUAAGAAAAACUCUGGUCCAGAAAGGAUUAAAAAAUAGACAGAUUUUUUCUUUCUUUAGAAAGUUGUGAGCACAAGAAAG